rnacentral:rRNA from 1 species
AACUACUGGAAACGGUAGCUAAUACCGCAUAACGUCGCAAGACCAAAGMGGGGGACCUUCGGGCCUCKUGCCAUCGGAUGUGCCCAGAUGGGAUUAGCUUGUAGGUGAGGUAAMGGCUCACCUAGGCGACGAUCCCUAGCUGGUCUGAGAGGAUGACCAGCCACACUGGAACUGAGACACGGUCCAGACUCCUACGGGAGGCAGCAGUGGGGAAUAUUGCACAAUGGGCGCAAGCCUGAUGCAGCCAUGCCGCGUGUAUGAAGAAGGCCUUCGGGUUGUAAAGUACUUUCAGCGGGGAGGAAGGKGRUAAGGUUAAUAACCUUAUCMAUUGACGUUACCCGCAGAAGAAGCACCGGCUAACUCCGUGCCAGCAGCCGCGGUAAUACGGAGGGUGCAAGCGUUA